UGAAGAAUGGUACACAACGCAUUUUACACGCGAACACUCUUCCCGGAGAAAGAGCCCACUGAGAGAUUUGGAACAACAUGCAGCUGUGAGGCCAGCGCUUGGCCGGCCUGGCCUUCCUUGCAAGCUGCUACACUGAAGAGAAAAACCUGAGGAAGCCCCUAACCUUCUUGAAUAACCUGGAUGUUGCAGAAUCAAGCCUGGCACAGGGCACUGGCAGAGAUGCAGAAGGGAGAGUGUCCAGCGAUGAGAGAGAUACGGGCCAGGGGGCAAAUCUUCAGCUUGCAGCACUCCCUUUGCAGAUCCAGUUGGAAUUACUUGUAUUGACGCUGUCUGCUCUCUCCACUGUCCCCUGAAAAUGACGAG